GUGUGCCGCGCGGGAAAGAAAGGGCACCGCUCCAGGGACGGGGGCGCAGGCGUCUGAGAGACCAGAAGCUGUCCCGUCGGUGACCGGAAUGAGAGAGGAGAUCCGCCCACGCCUGAGACUCAGAACCCAGGGUUUCCUAUCGAGUGACGUGACCCGAAUCCAGAACCGGGCCUGCCCGACUCCCAGGCCCGCCUGGAGCCGGCUAGAAGUCUCCACGGUCCUGCUCUCCCUUCCUCCUUAGAAUUUAUCAAACACGUGUGCAGUCAACGUCACAGUCAACCUCAGUGGGCGGGCGGGCCACUGCUUGACAUGAAGACCUUGGAUGAUCUGGCCCCUGCCAACUACUCAACCCCGCUGGCCUUUUCUCCAGGCUCCCUGAACCUUACUCCUUGGCCCUUCCGAACUAAUCCACGCUGGUUCUUGCUUCCCCACGUGUCUGUAUGGGCUCCGUCCACCUGAGAAACCACCGUCUCCUCUGUCCACCCCAUAAACUCUGAUUGGCCUUUCAAACCUCAGCUCCUGUUCCAUGAAGACUUUCGCCUCCUGCAGCCGGAGUUAAUGGUUCCCUUAGCACCUUACAACACACUUGUACUACAGCCCUGCUGUAUCUGUCAGCGUGAGCUGUGACACACCUGCCUCUGCUUUAGACCUGAGUCCCCCGAAGGCAGAGUCCUCCUCCGGGAAAGCUGCGAGAUGAAGGAAAUGAGGAUCGCAGACACGAAGCGACUGACCCAGCCCCCAGCUCGCUCCCGCUGCAAAAUAAAUGGUAGAAUGAGGGCUCA